rnacentral:rRNA from 1 species
CGGCGAGUGAAGCGGCAAAAGCUCAAAUUUGAAAUCUGGCGUCUUUGGCGUCCGAGUUGUAAUUUGAAGAAGGUAUCUUUGGGCCCGGCUCUUGUCUAUGUUCCUUGGAACAGGACGUCACAGAGGGUGAGAAUCCCGUGCGAUGAGAUGACCCGGGUCUGUGUAAAGUUCCUUCGACGAGUCGAGUUGUUUGGGAAUGCAGCUCUAAGUGGGUGGUAAAUUCCAUCUAAAGCUAAAUAUUGGCGAGAGACCGAUAGCGAACAAGUACAGUGAUGGAAAGAUGAAAAGAACUUUGAAAAGAGAGUGAAAAAGUACGUGAAAUUGUUGAAAGGGAAGGGCUUGAGAUCAGACUUGGUAUUUUGCAUGCUGCUCUCUCGGGGGCGGCCGCUGCGGUUUACCGGGCCAGCAUCGGUUUGGAGCGGCAGGAUAAUGGCGGAGGAAUGUGGCACGGCUUCUGCUGUGUGUUAUAGCCUCUGACGAUACUGCCAGCCUAGACCGAGGACUGCGGUUUUUAACCUAGGAUGUUGGCAUAAUGAUCUUAAGUCGCCCG